UCCUCCGGGGCGCAGCAGUGGGGAAUAUUGGCCAAUGGGGGGAACCCUGAUCCAGCGACGCCGCGUGAGUGAAGCAGUAUUUCGGUAUGUAAAGCUCUAUCAGCAGGGAAGAAAGAAAUGACGGUACCUGAUUAAGAAGCCCCGGCUAACUACGUGCCAGCAGCCGCGGUAAUACGUAGGGGGCAAGCGUUAUCCGGAUUUACUGUGUGUACAGGGAGCGUAGACGGCGAUGCAAGUCUGAAGUGCAAGGCGGGGACCCAACCCCCGGACUGCUUUGGAAACUGUCUAGCUGGAGUGCAG
rnacentral:rRNA from 1 species